rnacentral:tRNA from 1 species
GCCGCCGUAGCUCAGUGGUAGAGCAGCGCUUUUGUAAAGCGCGGGUCGCAGGUUCAAGUCCUGUCGGCGGCU